AACGCACAUUGCGCUCCCUGGUAUUCCGGGGAGCAUGCUCGUUUCAGAAUCAUUAACAUUCUCAAAGACACGGUCUGAACCUUCGGGGGAUACCGUUACUCUUUCGGAUGUGAGCCCUUUUGCUGCAAGGCAAUGGCUUGAAAAUGAUUGUGUUUGCAACCGGCCUCCUUGGUUCGGUUCUCUCAAGUGCAACAGAUGUUAGCUCAUUCGUUACCUCUUGAUGAGAAGCGAUUCCAUUGUCCGGAUGAUGUUACACUCAACCAAAAUACACUCUCAGUGAUUCGAAGGGAUCACUGUUUGAUAACUUGGUCUGAAAUCGAGCAAGAAAACCCGCUGAACUUAA
rnacentral:misc_RNA from 1 species